rnacentral:rRNA from 1 species
CUACGGGAGGCUGCAGUGAGGAAUAUUGCACAAUGGGGGGAACCCUGAUGCAGCAACGCCGCGUGGAGGAUGACGCAUUUCGGUGUGUAAACUCCUUUUAUAUGUCAAGAAAAUGACGGUAGCAUAUGAAUAAGCACCGGCUAACUCCGUGCCAGCAGCCGCGGCAAUACGGAGGGUGCAAGCGUUACUCGGAAUCACUGGGCGUAAAGGACGCGUAGGCGGGCUUGUAAGUCAGGUGUGAAAUCCUACAGCUUAACUGUAGAACUGCACUUGAAACUACGAGCCUAGAGUAUGGGAGGGGCAGAUGGAAUUAGUGGUGUAGGGGUAAAAUCCGUAGAUAUCACUAGGAAUACCUAAAGCGAAGGCGAUCUGCUGGAACAUAACUGACGCUAAGGCGUGAAAGCGUGGGGAGCAAACAGGAUUAGAUACCCGGGUAGUC